rnacentral:rRNA from 1 species
AUUGAACGCUGGCGGCAUGCCUUACACAUGCAAGUCGAACGGCAGCACGGGAGCAAUCCUGGUGGCGAGUGGCGAACGGGUGAGUAAAGUAUCGGAACGUGCCCAGUCGUGGGGGAUAACGUAGCGAAAGUUACGCUAAUACCGCAUACGAUCUAUGGAUGAAAGCGGGGGGUCGCAAGACCUCGCGCGAUUGGAGCGGCCGAUAUCAGAUUAGGUAGUUGGUGGGGUAAAGGCUCACCAAGCCGACGAUCUGUAGCUGGUCUGAGAGGACGACCAGCCACACUGGGACUGAGACACGGCCCAGACUCCUACGGGAGGCAGCAGUGGGGAAUUUUGGACAAUGGGCGAAAGCCUGAUCCAGCCAUGCCGCGUGCAGGAUGAAGGCCUUCGGGUUGUAAACUGCUUUUGUACGGAACGAAAAGGUUUGGCCUAAUAAGCUGAGCUCAUGACGGUGCCGUAAGAAUAAGCACCGGCUAACUACGUGCCAGCAGCCGCCGCGG